UUACGGCCAUAUUACGAUAGAAACAUCGGUUCUCGUACGAUCACCGAAGUUAAGCAAUGUCGAACCUUGUCAGUGCUUAGACUGGUAACCACUUGGGAAUACCAAGUGUUAUA